ACCCCUUCAAUCUUUACUUUCCUCUAUGGAUUCAAUUUUCCAUUUCAAUUCCGAUUUCGAUUUUGAUUUCGAUCACGAUCACGAACUACACACUUCGGAAGAUUUAACCAUUCCGAUUUCAAUUCUGAUUCCAAACCAUUCCGAUUCUUAUUCCUAUUUUGAUUCCAAUUGCAAACCAAACACCGCCUUUGUUCUUCCAACACUCUUGG
rnacentral:lncRNA from 1 species